rnacentral:rRNA from 1 species
CUACGGGAGGCAGCAGUGGGGAAUAUUGGACAAUGGGGGAAACCCUGAUCCAGCGACGCCGCGUGAGUGAAGAAGUAUUUCGGUAUGUAAAGCUCUAUCAGCAGGGAAGAAAAUGACGGUACCUGACUAAGAAGCCCCGGCUAACUACGUGCCAGCAGCCGCGGUAAUAAAUCUAGAUGC